rnacentral:rRNA from 1 species
AGUCGAGCGAACAGACGAGGAGCUUGCUCCUCUGACGUUAGCGGCGGACGGGUGGGUAACACGUGGAUAACCUACCUAUAAGACUGGGAUAACUUCGGGAAACCGGAGCUAAUACCGGAUAAUAUAUUGAACCGCAUGGUUCAAUAGUGAAAGACGGUUUUGCUGUCACUUAUAGAUGGAUCCGCGCCGCAUUAGCUAGUUGGUAAGGUAACGGCUUACCAAGGCAACGAUGCGUAGCCGACCUGAGAGGGUGAUCGGCCACACUGGAACUGAGACACGGUCCAGACUCCUACGGGAGGCAGCAGUAGGGAAUCUUCCGCAAUGGGCGAAAGCCUGACGGAGCAACGCCGCGUGAGUGAUGAAGGUCUUCGGAUCGUAAAACUCUGUUAUUAGGGAAGAACAAAUGUGUAAGUAACUAUGCACGUCUUGACGGUACCUAAUCAGAAAGCCACGGCUAACUACGUGCCAGCAGCCGCGGUAAUACGUAGGUGGCAAGCGUUAUCCGGAAUUAUUGGGCGUAAAGCGCGCGUAGGCGGUUUUUUAAGUCUGAUGUGAAAGCCCACGGCUCAACCGUGGAGGGUCAUUGGAAACUGGAAAACUUGAGUGCAGAAGAGGAAAGUGGAAUUCCAUGUGUAGCGGUGAAAUGCGCAGAGAUAUGGAGGAACACCAGUGGCGAAGGCGACUUUCUGGUCUGUAACUGACGCUGAUGUGCGAAAGCGUGGGGAUCAAACAGGAUUAG